rnacentral:sRNA from 1 species
GAAAAUUGCUCUUGUGUUGCGUAUUCUCACGAUGAUGGGAUUGGUUGUAUGUUUUGGAAUGACAAUCUACUAGACAUCCAACAACUCUCAAGUCGAGGACUUAAUCUAUAUGUUCGUGUAGACUCUUCUGAACUUGAACAUGAUGAAGGGAAAAAGACAGCAAUUAUCAUUACAAUAACAGUGAUAAUAGGAAUUGUGAUCAUUGUCA